GGUCCUUGAAGGGCGCGUCCAGCGGGUUAUUCGCGGGGCCUCGGACUAGUUGUUUUUUUUUUUUUUUCCCUUUUUCCUUUGAAAGUCUCCCUUUUGCCAAAUGCUCCCAAAUUCGCUAAAGCCCGCCGAUUUGUGAAUUCUGGGCUGCCCGCUGCCCGAGGUUUGCGGGUCGGGCGCAGACAGCUCGGGUGUCCCUUGUUUCCCAGGAACAGUGAAGGUAGCGGACCCAGCGCAGCCCCCAGCUUUAGUGUGGUGACCCUGUGCCUUCAGCCCAGCAGACAGUGCAGGUAAUGGGUGUCCUCCUAGCUCCUCUGAGCACGGACAGCGCAGGUGACGGCCCGCGUGCAGUCCCCAGGCUUCAGAAGUGUGUCCCCUGCGCCGUUGGGCACAGAUACUUCGGAUAAAGGACCACAACAGGUAGCCACCCCUCCUUCAGUGGGGUGCCCCCUGUCCCCUGGCACAGACAAUGCAGGGGCCCAAGGAGCGAGGUGUCCGCAGCCGCGCUAUGGACGAGCCAGAGCCUCCCGCCCCCACUCCCGAAGGAAACGGGCGAGUCGUACCCACGUCUUUAUUGAAUAUGAACCUCAGAGGAUUAACGUGCUCGGCAAAUUCAGACUGCCGAGUAGAAUUGCUGAAGCCAGAAACGGCCGAGAAACAGACAAGAAAUGUAGAAAGUUUGCAAAACACAGGAGUGCCAUGGGUCAUAUUUUGGUCUGUGUGUGAAAGGGAUUAAAUGACUAGAGCCAAGAGUUUCCAGUUUUUUUAUUGUGAAAUAUAACUACCAUUUACCACUCCAGCCAUCUUUCAGUGCCCAGCUCAGCAUCAUGAAGUUCAUGCACGUUGCUGGGCAACCACCACCACCCUCCGUCUCCAGAACUUUCCAUCUUCCCACACUGAAGCGCUGUCCUCUGUAAACUCUUCCCCUCCCCUCCCCUCCCCAGCCCGCGUGUCUUGCCAUCCUCCC